UCUAAAAAUGUACACAGGUUAUUGCUAUGUUGCCCAGGAUUGCUGCCAUACUUUUGGAUUGCCAGGUUAGCUCUGCAAGGAUCUGUAAUACAGAGGAAGAGGUGAGAAUGAAAGUCGCCUGCUAUUGGACAAUAUCCAGCCUAAUUUUAUGCUUUGUCUACUCAGCAGCCAUAUCUACCCUUCUACACAUGAACCUCCCCACAACAACAAUAGCAAUAAAACCGCUACCACCAAAUGUAAGAUGAUAGAGCUUAUUUUGCUGCUGUUACAGCUACACAAAGAUGGCCUCUGCCUCCCUUCCAUUUUCUAAAUAUCAAGAUGCCCAUGGGAGACCUAAUACAUCUGAAUUAAGUAAUUGUUUAAAGUUUUAAAAAAUUUAGUUUCUCCAAUGUUAUUAGUCUAUUUAAAUAUUUAAUGAUUUUUGGUGGUCUCUGUAUAUAUUUUUGUGUUCAUAGUAUACAAUAUGUGGUGUUGGUGGCCAGAAUUGAUAUACUUGGUCCAAAUAAGUAGCCCUGUUGACCUGGCAGAGAAUCAAUGCAAGUUUUCAUUAUAGGUAUACUGGUUCUGAUGGUUGUAUGUUUGUAGGAUUAAUGAGGAAGUUGGUGGUAUAGUGAGGGUACAUGUGAAUAGGUUCUUCUCUAUGAUUUAUGAGUAUUUUCUAUGCUGGAUCUUCCUAUUUCAGCUGUUAAGACAGUUGAAAGUCAGUGGGGUUACUAUCAGUUUCCUUCCUAUAAACCUAGUUCCCAUUCUGGUAAUCUCUAAAGUUAGACUUCCUCCUUAGUAGAGCUGUACUCUAAGUUUUAUUCAAGAGAGAAACACUGUUUUAGCUCCUCUGACAACAGAAUUAUUAUGUGGAUCUUUUCCUUCUAAUGAAUUAUCCAGCUUACUGUCCAAGUGUCAGCCCUUCUCACAACCCUCAUUGUCUCUUACUUAAGUGUUAUGCAGAUACUUUAUUGGAAAAACUCGCUUUAGUGAUUCUUCUCUUUGAUGAUUUAUCACCUGGAUGAAUUUAUUAGCUCUUUAGUCUGUUGAAUUUUGUUGGCAAUUUGGACCUACUUUCAGAACCGUCAAAAUUCGUCUAUAGCCCUCAAAAGUCUGCUGGUGACAUUCCUCUUAGGUUUAUAGCAAUGCUAUGGUUUUAUGGAUUCAUUUCUAUUUGUAUGUUUUUUCUGUGAUUUCUGCGUAUUUUGGGGAGGGUAGUGAGGUAAUUCACAUGUUCAAUUAAAUUAGUUCAAUUAGUUGUAAAUUAGUACUACUAUCCUUAGAUUUAUAGGAAACUAAAUUUUACU